rnacentral:rRNA from 2 species
CAGCUCAAAUUUGAAAUCUGGCCUCUUCGGGGUCCGAGUUGUAAUUUGUAGAGGGUGUUUCGGGCGCGAUGCCGGUCUAAGUUCCUUGGAACAGGACGUCGCAGAGGGUGAGAAUCCCGUACGCGACCGGCGAUCAAGCCUGUGUGAAGCCCCUUCGACGAGUCGAGUUGUUUGGGAAUGCAGCUCAAAAUGGGUGGUAAAUUUCAUCUAAAGCUAAAUAUUGGCCAGAGACCGAUAGCGGACAAGUAGAGUGAUCGAAAGAUGAAAAGCACUUUGGAAAGAGAGUCAAACAGUACGUGAAAUUGUUGAAAGGGAAGCGCUUGCAAUCAGACCGGUCCGGAGGCGAUCAGCCGCUGCUCGUUCAGCGGUGCACUCGCCUGCGAUCCGGCCAGCAUCGGUUUGGGCGGUGGGAUAAAAGUCCCGGGAAUGUAGCUUCUCUCGGGGAGUCUUAUAGCCCGGGUCGCAAUGCCGCCCGCCUGGACCGAGGACCGCGCUUCGGCUAGGAUGCUGGCGUAAUGGUUGCAAGCG